rnacentral:lncRNA from 10 species
GCUCUGUCACCCAGGCUGAAGUACAGUGGUGGGAACAUGGCUCACUUGCAGCCUCGACCUCCCAGGCUCAAGCGAUCCUCCCACCACAGCCUCCUGGGUAGCUGCACUACCACCAUGACCACCUAAAUUUUUUUCUUUUUCUUUUGGUGGAGGUGAGUUGCCCAGGUUGCCCAGGCUGUUCUCAAGUGAUCCUCCCACCUCAGCCUCCAAAGUGCUGAAUUACAGGUGUAAGCCACUGUGUUUGGCCAACCAUGAAUUUUGAAACUUGCAUCAGUGAUUCUCAAAAUGUGGUGAGGGCCACGAGUUACACUGCCAGGGCCACGAGUUACACUGCCAAGUAUGCAACUAUUAGUGAUUGAUUACUGUUAUUCUUUUAAAUUUUAUCCUAUUACUGUAACAUGUCUAUCUCUACACUAUUACUAGUAGAUAAUGUCCAAUACUAUGUAACACAUGGGCAUUAUAAAAAUUUCUCAAAACAUUUAAUUGUUAGUAUUACUGCUUAACUUCAGAACUCAAUUAAAAAUGUAAAAUAACCAAGAGCUUCCCCUAAGGCCUAUAGCAUAACUGCAUGAAACCUAGGUUCAAC